ensembl:lncRNA
CUACAACAAAAGCAGAAAGAAUACAGAGUAGCAGGCAAUAAAGGAAAUGAUCAACAGAAGAAACAAGCAACUUAGAUGAGAAACACAGUAAGCACUAAGGAUGAAGAGACAGCAUAAAAGGAGAAAGACAGGAAACAAGAAUGCUUUGUGUUGCACCUCUUACAGUCUGUCAAAUUCUGCUAUUUCUUUCUGAGACCCGCUUAUUGCACUGCCUCACAUGUGGGGGUAUUAAGCAACAAAUCUGUUAUCCCAGUUUUGCCCACUGACUCUUCCCCUUUGUUGGAUAUCACAAGCUUGAGUCUGGAUUCAUCUUUUCAUCCUCCCGUCAGGGUCAAAGCAUUGUCAACAUGAUCUUUAACCACGACCUGAGCUGAGUUAAACUCUUAGGAUAUGACAUCUCAGCCACGUUGCAAGUGUAACUGCCUGCAUCUUUGUGAGCUGGUGGGAGACUUAUAGUGACUGCAUACCAGUGCAGAACCGAAGCAUUAGAAUCUAGAUAAACAG